rnacentral:rRNA from 1 species
UUGAAAGGGAAACGAUUGAAGUCAGUCGUACCAGCGGGAAAUCAACCUUUCGAGUGGGGNUUUGGAGUUUUGAAGAGUGUCAAAACCUUUGAGAUUUCAAAAUUUUCGCUCUUUUGGUGUACUUUCUCGUGGGUAGGUUAACAUCGAUUUUGAUCAUCAUAAAAAGAUUGGAGGAAUGUAGCUUCGAUCUUGUAUUGAAGUGUUAUAGCCUUUGGUAAAUGUGAUGAUUAGGAUCGAGGAUUGCAACGAAUACCCUUUUGGGCUAUCCGCCUGAUCUCUGAUACGUGGCCUUGGUAUCGAAAGCGUGCUUAUGGUAUUGAGGUAUUACGGUCAAAAGGUUAGAACGGAUUACAUUCGUUAAGGAUGUUGACGUA